GGGAAGUUGGCAGAGCUGGCUUAUUGCUCUGGUCUUGAAAACCAGCGGGUCUUGAAAGAGGCCCCGUGAGUUCGAAUCUCACACUUCCCGCCA
rnacentral:tRNA from 1 species